rnacentral:rRNA from 1 species
UCAAGCAACUAAGCGCAUACGGUGGAUGCCUUGGCAGUCAGAGGCGAUGAAAGACGUGGAAGCCUGCGAUAAGGCUCGGGGAGCUGGCAAACAAGCUGUGAUCCGGGCAUCUCUGAAUGGGGAAACCCACCGGUCUUCGGACCGGUACCGUACGGUGAAUACAUAGCCGUACGGGGCGAACUCGGGGAACUGAAACAUCUAAGUACCCGAAGGAAAAGAAAUCAACCGAGAUUCCCUCAGUAGCGGCGAGCGAACGGGGACCAGCCCUUAAGCUGGACAACUGGUAGGAGAAGGCCCUGGAAAGAGCCGCCAUAGUGGGUGAUAGCCCCGUAUCCGAAACCUGAGUCCAGUGAAAUCGAGUAGGACGGGACACGAGACAUCCUGUCUGAACAUGGGGGGACCAUCCUCCAAGGCUAAAUACUACUGACUGACCGAUAGUGAACUAGUACCGUGAGGGAAAGAUGAAAAGAACCCCGAUAAGGGGAGUGAAAUAGAAUUUGAAACCGCAUACUUACAAGCAGUGAGAGGGCUAUUGUAAAGCUUGAUCACGUACCUCUUGCAUUAUGAUCUAGUGAGUUACGAUGUGUAGCCAGGUUAAGCCGUUAGGUGUAGCCGUAGGGAAACCGAGUCUGAAUAGGGCGAAUAGUUGCAUGUCGUAGACCCGAAACGGGAUGAGCUUACCAUGGGCAGGUUGAAGCGAGGGUAAAACCUCGUGGAGGACCGAACCCGUUAAGGUUGAAAACUUUUGGGAUGACCUGUGGUAAGGGGUGAAAGGCCAAUCAAAUUCCGUGAUAGCUGGUUCUCUCCGAAAUGCAUUUAGGUGCAGCGUCUAAUGAAUACCGUUGGGGGUAUAGCACUGAAUUGGCUAGGGGGCUUACCGGCUUACCAAACCAUAUCAAACUCAGAAUAC